rnacentral:rRNA from 1 species
UACGUAGGGUGCGAGCGUUACUCGGAAUUACUGGGCGUAAAGCGUGCGCAGGCGGUUCUGAAAGUCAGCUGUGAAAGCCCCGGGCUUAACCUGGGAAUUGCGGUUGAAACUACAGGGCUAGAAUCUGGCAGAGGGGGGUGGAAUUCCACGUGUAGCAGUGAAAUGCGUAGAGAUGUGGAGGAACACCGAUGGCGAAGGCAGCCCCCUGGGCUGAGAUUGACGCUCAGGCACGAAAGCGUGGGGAGCAAACAGG